CAGAACAGCUUUUCCUUCUCUUGCCUUGGGAUAACCCACCUGAACUCAAGUUCAACUCCCUCUGGAGUCAGCUUGUCACUCAGGAUCCAGGGACACCAUAACCAGGUCAGAACUAGUUUGGAUAGGGGUUCACAAACUCCUGGAUCCUCAUGCGCUGUCAGAACACUCCGCUGCAGGCAGCAUCUAGGCGACCUGGGAACCUGGCAGAAAGGAGGCUACAGAUGUCAGCAGAGUCCAGCCAGGAAGUGUAGGCGCAAAGAUGUCCCUUCCUCGCGCAGUCCUGGGAAUGAGAUCCUCAGAGAAGUGUGUUCUCUGCCCAUCAAUCUAGUCCCCUUCCUGUGCCGACGCUCUCACGCUCCACUGUUCAUGUUACCAUUCUUUUCCAGCAACUGAACGAACCCAGCGAAGCAUCACCAGCACCCCCAGGGCUGUAUUUCCGAUCUCCACUUCGCGUCAAGGGACGGAUGGCAGGCGGCGAAUGUCAAGUGUGACAGGGCUUUACAGGCAAGUGGGAGAGUGCGCGCUGAGGAUGAGUGAGGAUGGCGAGAACGCGCGUGGAGCUGGCACCCAGGCGGCCGC
rnacentral:lncRNA from 1 species